rnacentral:tRNA from 1 species
GAGGGUGUAGCUCAGUGGUAGAGUGCCUGCCUAGCAUGCACAAGGUCCUGGGUUCAAUCCCCAGUACCUCCA